GGCGGCAUAGCUCAGCUGGCUAGAGCAUACGGUUCAUACCCGUACGGUCGUGGGUUCAAGUCCAACUGCCGCUACCA
rnacentral:tRNA from 1 species